GGGGUUGUAGUGUAGUGGUAACAUACGUGACGCGGGUUCGAUUCCUGCUGGUUCCA
rnacentral:tRNA from 1 species